rnacentral:rRNA from 1 species
GAUGAACGCUGGCGGCGUGCCUAAUACAUGCAAGUCGAGCGAACAGACGAGGAGCUUGCUCCUUUGACGUUAGCGGCGGACGGGUGAGUAACACGUAGGUAACCUACCUAUAAGACUGGGAUAACUUCGGGAAACCGGAGCUAAUACCGGAUAAUAUUUCGAACCGCAUGGUUCGAUAGUGAAAGAUGGCUUUGCUAUCACUUAUAGAUGGACCUGCGCCGUAUUAGCUAGUUGGUAAGGUAACGGCUUACCAAGGCAACGAUACGUAGCCGACCUGAGAGGGUGAUCGGCCACACUGGAACUGAGACACGUCCAGACUCCUACGGGAGGCAGCAGUAGGGAAUCUUCCGCAAUGGGCGAAAGCCUGACGGAGCAACGCCGCGUGAGUGAUGAAGGUCUUCGGAUCGUAAAACUCUGUUAUUAGGGAAGAACAAACGUGUAAGUAACUGUGCACGUCUUGACGGUACCUAAUCAGAAAGCCACGGCUAACUACGUG